rnacentral:rRNA from 1 species
AAAUUGAAGAGUUUGAUCAUGGCUCAGAUUGAACGCUGGCGGCAGGCCUAACACAUGCAAGUCGAACGGUAACAGGAAGCAGCUUGCUGCUUUGCUGACGAGUGGCGGACGGGUGAGUAAUGUCUGGGAAACUGCCUGAUGGAGGGGGAUAACUACUGGAAACGGUGGCUAAUACCGCAUAACGUCGCAAGACCAAAGAGGGGGACCUUCGGGCCUCUUGCCAUCAGAUGUGCCCAGAUGGGAUUAGCUGGUUGGUGAGGUAACGGCUCACCAAGGCGACGAUCCCUAGCUGGUCUGAGAGGAUGACCAGCCACACUGGAACUGAGACACGGUCCAGACUCCUACGGGAGGCAGCAGUGGGGAAUAUUGCACAAUGGGCGCAAGCCUGAUGCAGCCAUGCCGCGUGUAUGAAGAAGGCCUUCGGGUUGUAGAGUACUUUCAGCGGGGAGGAAGGUGUUGUGGUUAAUAAC